rnacentral:rRNA from 1 species
AGGAUGAACGCUGGCGGUGUGCCUAAUACAUGCAAGUCGAACGAAGCCUUCGGGCUUAGUGGCGGACGGGUGAGUAACACGUUGGUACCUACCCCGAAGUGGGGAAUAACUGCCCGAAAGGGUGGCUAAUACCGCAUAAUACCGCAAGGUUAAAGCGAGUAAUCGCGCUUCGGGAGGGGCCUGCGUCCCAUUAGCUAGUUGGUGAGGUAACGGCUCACCAAGGCGACGAUCGGUAGCUGGUCUGAGAGGACGAUCAGCCACACUGGGAUUGAGAACGGCCCAGACUCCUACGGGGGGCAGCAGUGAGGAAUUUUCCGCAAUGGGCGCAAGCCUGACGGAGCAACGCCGCGUGCAGGAAGACGGUUUUCGGAUCGUAAACUGCUUUUCUCGGGGACGAGAACGGACGGUACCCGAGGAAUCAGCCCCGGCUAACUACGCGCCAGCAGCCGC